GAUGAACGCUGGCGGCGUGCCUAAUACAUGCAAGUCGAGCGAACGGACGAGAAGCUUGCUUCUCUGAUGUUAGCGGCGGACGGGUGAGUAACACGUGGAUAACCUACCUAUAAGACUGGGAUAACUUCGGGAAACCGGAGCUAAUACCGGAUAAUAUUUUGAACCGCAUGGUUCAAAAGUGAAAGACGGUCUUGCUGCCACUUAUAGAUGGAUCCGCGCUGCAUUAGCUAGUUGGUAAGGUAACGGCUUACCAAGGCAACGAUGCAUAGCCGACCUGAGAGGGUGGUCGGCCACACUGGAACUGAGACACGGUCCAGACUCCUACGGGAGGCAGCAGUAGGGAAUCUUCCGCAAUGGGCGAAAGCCUGACGGAGCAACGCCGCGUGAGUGAUGAAGGUCUUCGGAUCGUAAAACUCUGUUAUUAGGGAAGAACAUGUGUGUAAGUAACUGUGCACAUCUUGACGGUACCUAAUCAGAAAGCCACGGCUAACUACGUG
rnacentral:rRNA from 1 species